CAGCAGCCGCGGUAAUUCCAGCUCCAAUAGCGUAUACUAAAGUUGUUGCGGUUAAAAAGCUCGUAGUUGGAUCUUGGAAUGUGUUCAAGCGGGUCAGCUUCUGGCUGUGCGCUGCUUGACGUGUUCUUCUAUUUGGUUUUGGUGCGGUGCGCUUAACUGCGUGUCGCUCCCGGCCGAAACGUUUACCUUGAAAAAAUUAGAGUGUUCAAAGCAGACCUGUUUGAGUCUGAAUAUUCGUGCAUGGAAUAAUGAAAUAUGAAUUCGGUUCUAUUUUGUUGGUUUUCGGAACUCGAGUUAAUGAUCAAGAGGGACAGACGGGGGCAUUCGUACUCUGCCGUUAGAGGUGAAAUUCUUGGAUCGACGGAAGACGCGCAACUGCGAAAGCAUUUGCCAAGAAUGUUUUCUUUAAUCAAGAACGAUAGUCGGAGGUUCGAAGACGAUCAGAUACCGUCCUAGUUUCGACUGUAAACUAUGCCAGCUAACGAUCAGACAGAGUUCUCUACGACUUGUCUGGCAGUUUCCGGGAAACCAAAGCGUUUGGGUUCCGGGGGAAGUAUGGUUGCAAAGCUGAAACUUAAAGGAAUUGACGGAAGGGCACCACCAGGAGUGGAGCCUGCGGCUUAAUUUGACUCAACACGGGGAAACUCACCCGGCCCGGACACAGUGAGGAUUGACAGAUUGAGAGUUCUUUCUUGAUUCUGUGGGUGGUGGUGCAUGGCCGUUCUUAGUUGGUGGAGCGAUUUGUCUGGUUAAUUCCGAUAACGAACGAGACUCUGGCAUGUUAAAUAGUCGCGGAAGUGCGUAUGCACUUGCCGAAUUGACUUCUUAGAGGGACUAGUGAUUUUAAUUCACACGAGAUUGAGCAAUAACAGGUCUGUGAUGC
rnacentral:rRNA from 1 species